rnacentral:lncRNA from 1 species
GGUGGAGCCGUCAUAAGGCUCCACUUGCGGCAUCUUGAAUCGAGUCAGGAUCGGCUCAUCCAAAAUAUGUCGGAAGAAGGGUGGAGCAAUGUGGAUACCGAAGUCAUUGGAGGAACCUCAAUUUUCCACCUAAAGUUGGGCAAGUCGGUAGUCAAUCUCUUUUAACCUGCACUCAUAGUCAUCGAGCCACCCUUGUUGUGAAACUUCAAGAGUAGAAUCCUCCCCUGA